rnacentral:rRNA from 1 species
GACGAACGCUGGCGGCGUGCUUAACACAUGCAAGUCGAACGGAAAGGCCCUGCUUGCAGGGUACUCGAGUGGCGAACGGGUGAGUAACACGUGGGUGAUCUGCCCUGCACUUCGGGAUAAGCCUGGGAAACUGGGUCUAAUACCGGAUAGGAGCCAUUUUUAGUGUGAUGGUUGGAAAGUUUUUUCGGUGUAGGAUGAGCUCGCGGCCUAUCAGCUUGUUGGUGGGGUAAUGGCCUACCAAGGCGGCGACGGGUAGCCGGCCUGAGAGGGUGGACGGCCACAUUGGGACUGAGAUACGGCCCAGACUCCUACGGGAGGCAGCAGUGAGGAAUAUUGCACAAGGGGCGCAAGCCUGAUGCAGCGACGCCGCGUGGGGGAUGACGGCCUUCGGGUUGUAAACUCCUUUCGCUAGGGACGAAGCUUUUUGUGACGGUACCUAGAUAAGAAGCACCGGCUAACUACGUG